UCCAGGAGUGAGGGUUUCCAUGUAAACCAUC
rnacentral:piRNA from 1 species